rnacentral:rRNA from 1 species
GUCACUUAUAGAUGGAUCCGCGCUGCAUUAGCUAGUUGGUAAGGUAACGGCUUACCAAGGCAACGAUGCAUAGCCGACCUGAGAGGGUGAUCGGCCACACUGGAACUGAGACACGGUCCAGACUCCUACGGGAGGCAGCAGUAGGGAAUCUUCCGCAAUGGGCGAAAGCCUGACGGAGCAACGCCGCGUGAGUGAUGAAGGUCUUCGGAUCGUAAAACUCUGUUAUUAGGGAAGAACAUAUGUGUAAGUAACUGUGCACAUCUUGACGGUACCUAAUCAGAAAGCCACGGCUAACUACGUGCCAGCAGCCGCGGUAAUACGUAGGUGGCAAGCGUUAUCCGGAAUUAUUGGGCGUAAAGCGCGCGUAGGCGGUUUUUUAAGUCUGAUGUGAAAGCCCACGGCUCAACCGUGGAGGGUCAUUGGAAACUGGAAAACUUGAGUGCAGAAGAGGAAAGUGGAAUUCCAUGUGUAGCGGUGAAAUGCGCAGAGAUAUGGAGGAACACCAGUGGCGAAGGCGACUUUCUGGUCUGUAACUGACGCUGAUGUGCGAAAGCGUGGGGAUCAAACAGGAUUAGAUACCCUGGUAGUCCACGCCGUAAACGAUGAGUGCUAAGUGUUAGGGGGUUUCCGCCCCUUAGUGCUGCAGCUAACGCAUUAAGCACUCCGCCUGGGGAGUACGACCGCAAGGUUGAAACUCAAAGGAAUUGACGGGGACCCGCACAAGCGGUGGAGCAUGUGGUUUAAUUCGAAGCAACGCGAAGAACCUUACCAAAUCUUGACAUCCUUUGACAACUCUAGAGAUAGAGCCUUCCCCUUCGGGGGACAAAGUGACAGGUGGUGCAUGGUUGUCGUCAGCUCGUGUCGUGAGAUGUUGGGUUAAGUCCCGCAACGAGCGCAACCCUUAAGCUUAGUUGCCAUCAUUAAGUUGGGCACUCUAAGUUGACUGCCGGUGACAAACCGGAGGAAGGUGGGGAUGACGUCAAAUCAUCAUGCCCCUUAUGAUUUGGGCUACACACGUGCUACAAUGGACAAUACAAAGGGCAGCGAAACCGCGAGGUCAAGCAAAUCCCAUAAAGUUGUUCUCAGUUCGGAUUGUAGUCUGCAACUCGACUACAUGAAGCUGGAAUCGCUAGUAAUCGUAGAUCAGCAUGCUACGGUGAAUACGUUCCCGGGUCUUGUACACACCGCCCGUCACACCACGAGAGUUUGUAACACCCGAAGCCGGUGGAGUAACCUUUUAGGAGCUAGCCGUCGAAGGUGGGACAAAUGAUUGGGGUGAAGUCGUAACAAGGUAGCCGUAUCGGAAGGUGCGGCU